UCAGGGAGGGAGGACACACAGUCCAACAGUGCUGGGAUCUGAACUUGUAGGUCCCAAGAAAUCUGAGUGCUUCAAACCUGAUGCUCAGGUCACAAACUAUCCAGGAGGACAGACCAUCACGGAUCUCCUCAGUUAGACUGGGGAGUCGAGGCUGAAAGCCUGUAGUGGAACUGUUACUCCAGGAGCCCGCUACUUCACUACUUGGGGCAGGAAGGAAAUAACUGGCAGUACAGGACCCAGGGAAGGGGCAUAUUACUAAGAUCGUUGCUCCCUGGGGAUUCCAGCCCGUUGUUCUGACCGCAUUCUGUCCUCCCCAACCCUGGCCUGCCAUCUACAUCUGGCCCCGGCACGGUGCAGGAAAGACGGGGCUCUGUUAUAGCAAGUUUAGAAGUGCUUUCAUCUUGCUGACCUCUCAGGGUGAAUGUUUGCACCUGAUAUGAAGACUCUGCUCCACUCUAUCCUGACAGUGACAUAUCGAAUAAGCAGGAGGAACCUUUUAAAUCAUGAAGUAUUCCAGUGACGGUUCUGUUGACACUGCACAUGAGGAGACCAAGGAUCAAGUCCAAGUUUUCCUCGUUUAACAUGCCCAGCUGGUUACAAUUUCAGACACUAAAGACCCCAGAUGGAUUGAAGCUGUUCAUACAGAGAGCCCACAAUGGUCAAGGUACUAUUCAGUCAUAAUGGAAGUUGUGAUCCUUGCCAUGAUGAGUGUAACUGAAGGUAGAAUUUGGCCUGUGGAAUCUUAUUAUUGGUGGUAAUGCACAAACCAGGAAAAAACAACAACUUGACUUUCAGAUCGCAGAAUGUGUUUGUGGUGCUGGCAAUGAGGAAAAACACAUCUUCUUACUUAUCAACAGAGCAUAUCUGAUGUGGAGGACUCUGUUCCCAGGUGGAGACAUUAAUAUUUCAGCUGGAGAAAUCAUGUCUGUAACACAGAGUGUUUAUCCUGAUCCCAGCAAAACUCCUGUCCAGUUCUCAGACUUCUACACUUUUCAGUCAAUAAAGACCUACAUAU